GACAGAGGGUGCAAACGUUGCUCGGAAUUACUGGGCGUAAAGCGCGUGUAGGCGGGCCGGCUAGUCAGGCGUGAAAUCCCUAGGCUCAACCUAGGAACUGCACCUGAAACUCCCGGUCUUGAGUGGUGGAGAGGAAAGCAGAAUUCCUGGUGUAGAGGUGAAAUUCGUAGAUAUCAGGAGGAACACCAGUAGCGAAGGCGGCUCGCUGGGCCAUUCCUGACGCUGAGACGCGAAAGCUAGGGGAGCGAACAGG
rnacentral:rRNA from 1 species